CAUAGGCAAGCACCUGCUCUUUGUGGACACGUAACUAAAGCCAACUUACACUUUACACAUUUCUAUUUCAAAUCAAGCUUUGAGGACUAGAUGGGAAGACACAUAUAUCCAUCACUCAGCUCUAUACUGAGGACCUGCGGGCACCAGUGACUGACGUGGGCUAACGAGACGGGAAGGCUUCUUACAGAAUUCAUCCCGGGCGAGCAUCCGUCCAGGGCCCGUUGACUGCGAAAAUACCAACGUAAGAAAAAGAACACAAACUUCACAGUCAUUUCAGCUACACGUGGAGUCGAAUUCCUGCCCUGCCGCUUAUGAGCCGUGUUCAUUAAACCAUCUGAUUCUCAA